rnacentral:lncRNA from 1 species
UCUAUUUUAUUAUUCAGUCUAUUUAAGUUAAAUGAUUACUUUUAGUCAAGGGUGACAAUGGAGUAGGGCGAGUGCUGGGCCUGAUGGGUUUAGACAUGAAAGGGGUGGUGCAAGUUUAUUCUUUGUCCUUCAUUCUUCCUCUCUUGGCAGUGAUGCUUUCUAUUCGAAGACCUAUUUUUUUAUUUGUCACCAUAGUCCAAUUCAUGCUAUUUUUAUCGACAUUAUUUUCCCAAUCAAAGCAGCUGUAACACCAUUGUUUUCAACAAUUAGUUGUUGCCCAGAAUUUCUAGUUGCAUUCUAUCACUACUAGAAUUUUCAACUUGCAUAUAGUAUUCUCAUAUUACUUUGAAUCUGAAUCUUUUUCUUUUCCAUCAUGACUUUCUAACACCUCCACAACUUUAUUUAGCCUUGAUUUCUGUCCAGAAUUGAUGUGUGAUGCAAUGACCAAAGCCAUUAAAAUACCCAUGCAUUGUCCUAAAUUUUCACCUGAUGCACGAGCAACAUUAUCACCUAGUUCCUCCCUCAUACAGGUAAGUGAAGCAUCAACUACAUCGACAUUAGUAAUCAUUUGAUCUGCUUUGCAACUUUGGAUUGCUCUUUAGCUUUUCUUUUCUUAUUUAAAAAAUCUCAUGUAUCACCAUGUAAUGGUUUAGUUUUACCUUAGAAUAAUAAUGCAAUCAGUUGAUCGAUUAUUUCAUUAGCAUCGCUAAUUAAAUUAUCACCAUAUAUCUGAUCUUCCUCAGCUAAACCAUUUUUCACCAAUUUCAACUUCAAAUGACAUUCAUUAAUCUUAUGUUCCUAGUGUUUAAAUUAAUUGCAGUGGCUAGGAAGAUUGUCAGAUACACUCUUUUACCAUUUAGAAUGAAUUGCACCAGUUGUGAUGUCUUUAAAAAAUUGGAAACCUUCAAGAAGAUUAGUUAAUAAAUUCACCUUGACUUUAAUCCCUGCAGUCCCAGGCCUUGACUUAAUAGAAAUAGCCUUGUAUACUUAAAGUGGCUUACCUAUAGCAAAAGCAAUGGAGUAUAUUGCCUCACAAGCAAAAUAUUAUGGAGGUAAGCUAUAAUACCCCACAUUUUUAGCAAGAAAUCAAACAUUCAUUCCUACAUAUGUAAACUCUAAUCCCUUGAUUUAAAUUUGAAUACAUGUGUUAUGAUCAUUAUCCUAGUGUGAAGAGUGUUUAUUAGGUGAACAAUAUUCAUAGAAAUCACUUAGAGCAAAGUUGAGCUAAGAGGCUUUGAUUCGGUCAAAUUUUGGUAUUCGAUUCUACAAGGAUCAACUUUGAACAAGUAUAACUUUUAUAUAUGUGACAUCUCAAUACCCACCAAAUUAUAAAUAAUUGAAUUAUCUUUUCAACGACACCAAAUUCUCCUUAAUCCAAUACUCGAGCAAAAAGUUAUGACCAUUUUUGUGAGAGACAGUAAGGGUCCGCAAUAGCUCUGCGAUGUGGACCUUAGACCCCACGUUAACCUCCGCGAUGCGGAAGAUAUUCUUCUUUCAUCUAUAUUAAUAAGCCCAAAGGGAAUUUUAGUCAUUUCCCCUUACCCCCAAGCACCCAAGUGAUGGAUUAAAACCCCAAAAGGGCAUUAUUUACCCACUUUUCAUCAUUAAACACUUAUGUAAACCCUUCCCUUCCCAAGAAUAAGAAAUUUAAGCUUUAUUCCUCAAGAAUUAAACUUCCAAUUUCAAGCUUUCUUCAAGAAGUUAUCUAAUUGAGGUAUGUGGUGUUUUGAACAAGGUUAAUCUUUCAUCCCUGUGCCUGAAUAAAUGAUUUUUAAGUUGAAUUUACAUGUUUUAAGUUAGAGUUUAUUCCUAAAUCCUCAUGUGUUGAAAGCAUCGCAUUGCCCUGUCAUUUAAAGGAUUAAAGAACAUAAGAGUUGUACUUGUUCAUGUUUUAAACUACAAAUUUGAUGUGUUGUCUUAAAUUUCAUCAUUUUGAUGAAAAAUUAUUAUUCUCCUAAGUUUAAUACAUCUCCAUGCUUAAAUCCAUGUAUUAUAGUCAUGUACUGAAUUGUCUAAUGUUUUGAGUCUCUAAAUUAUGACUUCAUAUUAUUGUUUUAAGAAUUUGUUUUCGUAUUUCAGUAAUCAUUCAGUGCUGGCAGGUUAUGAACACCCGAUACCUACAUGUUUACUUAUAUUUUAGACUUUUCAAGUAAUGAGUCAGUCAACUCAUGAUUUCAGUGUUAAACACAGUUUGUUACGAUCUUAUUGACCACUAUCAAUUUACACAUUUAUGAUUACUUCAUAUCCUAUAUACACUAUUAUUUUCAAAAUACCAUGACCUGAGCUUAUCAGUUAUUAGUGCAUAGACUAGUUAGUGUUACAGUGUCUUUUAGUUGGGAGUAGGAUGUAUCACCGAGUGAAAAGUAUGGGUUCAGCACAUCCUACUUCCCUUGAAAUUACGCACCACCAUAGGUUUAGAGGCCUUGCCAAAGAGUGCUUCCCCUUUCCUAAUAUAGGCUCUAUUUAGUGAUCACUCCAAUUCAGGUUCUAUUCUAAUGGAAAGUAUAGAAUAGCCCUACUCAACGUGGGUUAGAUGUUGGACUCCAUGAUAGCUCACAUGAUUUAUAUCAGUUACAUGAUAGCUCCCAUAGUUUCAGUCAAUAUUCAGUUUAGAUUUGCUUGACCAAGUAAUCAGAUUUCAGUAAUUAUUUAGUUAGUUUUACAGAUCAUUCAUGUUGUUCAGAUCAUUUCAUUACAUGCUAUACUUGGUCUUGUAUUUUCAGUUUUACAAGAUUAGUUUUGUAGCAUGUUCAGCAUGACAUGAGAUUCAUAUUCAGUAUUCAUAUUUUACCGCCUCCCAGCUUUAGUUCUACUUAUUCUACAAAAUUAAAGAUUUAAAAAACUAAGUGUAGUGAUUCACCAGCUUAUCAGAUUAUGUUUGUUACUCAUGUUUUAAGAUACUUCAGCUUAUAGUUGAUUUCAGUUCCAUGGUGAGUCUACUUGCAUUUAGUAUGCAUGUUUUAAGAUUAUAUAUCUAUUCAGUUCUAUUUAUUGCAUUCCCCCUACUUACUCAGUACAUUCCAGAAGUGUUGAUCUACAUAUAUGUCUAUGUGCUACAUUGUCUAAUAAUGUAGGUACCAGUUGUAGCCCACACAUCAUAAUCAGACAGGUCGCAGCUUCCAGCCAGUAGGUGAUUAGUUUUCUUAUUUCGGGGACUCUAGUCAGUUGUAGUUUAUGUACUAUAUUGUUAUUAUUCUUAUGUAUUAAUUUGUGGUAGUUGGAGGCAUGUACCAGCCACCUACAAUCAGUAUAGUAG